UACGUAGGGGGCAAGCGUUGUCCGGAAUUAUUGGGCGUAAAGAGCGCGUAGGCGGUCCGGUAAGUCGGUUGUGAAAGUCGGGGGCUCAACCCUCGGAUGCCGAUCGAUACUGUCGGGCUAGAGUCCGGAAGAGGCGAGUGGAAUUCCUGGUGGUAGCGGUGAAAUGCGUAGAUAUCGGAAGGAACAUCAGUGGCGAAAGCGACUUCCUGGACCAAUACUGACGCUCAUGUGCGAAAGCGUGGGAGCAACAGG
rnacentral:rRNA from 1 species